UACGUAGGGUGCAAGCGUUAAUCGGAAUUACUGGGCGUAAAGCGUGCGCAGGCGGUUAUGUAAGACAGUUGUGAAAUCCCCGGGCUCAACCUGGGAACUGCAUCUGUGACUGCAUAGCUAGAGUACGGUAGAGGGGGGAUGGAAUUCCGCGUGUAGCAGUGAAAUGCGUAGAUAUGCGGAGGAACACCGAUGGCGAAGGCAGCCCCCCUGGGCUGACACUGACGCUCAGGCACGAAAGCGUGGGGAGCAAACAGG
rnacentral:rRNA from 1 species